UGCAAGUCGAGCGCACCCUUCGGGGCGAGCGGCGGACGGGUUAGUAACGCGUGGGAACAUACCCUUUGGUACGGAAUAGCCUCGGGAAACUGAGAGUAAUACCGUAUGUGCCCUUCGGGGGAAAGAUUUAUCGCCAAAGGAUUGGCCCGCGUUAGAUUAGAUAGUUGGUGGGGUAAUGGCCUACCAAGUCUACGAUCUAUAGCUGGUUUUAGAGGAUGAUCAGCAACACUGGGACUGAGACACGGCCCAGACUCCUACGGGAGGCAGCAGUGGGGAAUCUUAGACAAUGGGCGCAAGCCUGAUCUAGCCAUGCCGCGUGUGUGAUGAAGGCCUUAGGGUCGUAAAGCACUUUCGCCAGAGAUGAUAAUGACAGUAUCUGGUAAAGAAACCCCGGCUAACUCCGUGCCAGCAGCCGCGGUAAUACGGAGGGGGUUAGCGUUGUUCGGAAUUACUGGGCGUAAAGCGUACGUAGGCGGAUCAGAAAGUAUGGGGUGAAAUCCCAGGGCUCAACCCUGGAACUGCCUCAUAAACUCCUGGUCUUGAGUUCGAGAGAGGUGAGUGGAAUUCCAAGUGUAGAGGUGAAAUUCGUAGAUAUUUGGAGGAACACCAGUGGCGAAGGCGGCUCACUGGCUCGAUACUGACGCUGA
rnacentral:rRNA from 1 species